UACGUAGGGUGCAAGCGUUGUCCGGAAUUAUUGGGCGUAAAGAGCUCGUAGGCGGUCUGUCGCGUCGGCUGUGAAAACCCGGGGCUCAACCCCGGGCCUGCAGUCGAUACGGGCAGACUAGAGUGCGGUAGGGGAGACUGGAAUUCCUGGUGUAGCGGUGAAAUGCGCAGAUAUCAGGAGGAACACCAGUGGCGAAGGCGGGUCUCUGGGCCGUAACUGACGCUGAGGAGCGAAAGCGUGGGGAGCGAACAGG
rnacentral:rRNA from 1 species